GAUGAAGAACGUAGUGAAAUGCGAUAAGUAGUGUGAAUUGCAGAAUUCAGUGAAUCAUCGAAUCUUUGAACGCACAUUGCGCCCCUUGGUAUUCCAUGCGGCAUGCCUGUUCGAGCGUCAUUUGUACCUUCAAGCUUUGCUUGGUGUUGGGUGUUUGUCCAUUCUCUUGCAGAGGGACUCGCCUUAAAGUAAUUGGCAGCCAGUGUUUUGGUUUUGAAGCGCAGCACAAGUCGCGAUUCAACGCUAUACGCCAGCUUCCACAAGCCUUUUUCACUUUUGACCUCGGAUCAGGUAGGGAUACCCGCUGAACUUAAGCAUAUCAAUAAGCGGAGGA
rnacentral:misc_RNA from 1 species